CAGCUGCUGGUUUUUUUUAAAACUAAGGAAACUCCGCCCAUCAUACAGACUAUGGCGUUGAAAAACGUAUACCGAGAGGUAUGACUCUGGAGCAGAAACGACACGUCUUUUAAUGAAUGACAAUGAUAUUUAAUUGAGGACAUUAAAAAGGAUCGGUGAAACGGCCAUUCCAUAGGAUGCAAGAGCAAAGGUGCCUAUGAAAAUCUGUUUGAGGCAAGGUAGCACGCUAAGAUGAAUGCUGUUAAACAGAAGGUGGGUUACUCUUAAC
rnacentral:RNase_P_RNA from 1 species